rnacentral:rRNA from 1 species
UACGUAGGGCGCAAGCGUUAUCCGGAAUUAUUGGGCGUAAAGAGCUCGUAGGCGGUUUUGUCGCGUCUGCUGUGAAAACGCGAGGCUCAACCUCGCGCCUGCAGUGGGUACGGGCAGACUAGAGUGCGGUAGGGGAGAUUGGAAUUCCUGGUGUAGCGGUGGAAUGCGCAGAUAUCAGGAGGAACACCGAUGGCGAAGGCAGAUCUCUGGGCCGUUACUGACGCUGAGGAGCGAAAGCGUGGGGAGCGAACAGG